CUUCUGGUAUAGUGAUUGAUGAUUUACUGUUCAAUUAUAUCUGUCGUGACUUUGUCACUCAUCUUUGUCAUGUUUGAUCUGGCAUAGCCACCCUGCCAAACCUGCAUCUUAUAUCUGUCGUGACUUUGUCACUCAUCUUUGUCAUGUUUGAUCUGGCAUAGCCACCCUGCCAAACCUGGAUCAUGAGUUCUAUGUGAACUUUACGUGGUAUGUUAUUUUCUCACAGUAGUUGUUGGCUAAGUGUUUGUCACCUGCUCUCACUUGAACUGUCACAUCUGCUUUUGUCCCCAAGAUGCAUCAAAGUUAGAUUGGUAGAGGUUCUAUUCUUAACUUCUUUUCUAGGUUAGUGUGCCUGUAAGCAUAUUAAAAGUCCAUGCCGUCUACUUCUGAUGUGCUGUC
rnacentral:lncRNA from 1 species